AGACCUGGUAGUUAAAUAAUAAUGACAAAUUGCAAAUUUGUAGUUACUGGUAGUCUAGGUUUA
rnacentral:tRNA from 1 species